UAGCCAUGGUGAGGACACAAAUUUAACAAUUCUUUAAAUCUCUCCCAAACUUGGUAUAAAGUUUCACUCUCUUUCUGAACAAAGGUUGAGAUUUGUCUCUUCAAAGCAU